ACGCUGGCGGCAGGCUUAACACAUGCAAGUCGAACGGUAACAGGGAUUAGCUUGCUAAUUUGCUGACGAGUGGCGGACGGGUGAGUAAUGCUUGGGAAUCUGGCUUAUGGAGGGGGAUAACUACGGGAAACUGUAGCUAAUACCGCGUAAUAUCGGAAGAUUAAAGGGUGGGACUUUCGAGCCACCUGCCAUAAGAUGAGCCCAAGUGGGAUUAGGUAGUUGGUUAGGUAAAGGCUGACCAAGCCGACGAUCUCUAGCUGGUCUGAGAGGAUGACCAGCCACACUGGAACUGAGACACGGUCCAGACUCCUACGGGAGGCAGCAGUGGGGAAUAUUGCACAAUGGGGGGAACACUGAUGCAGCCAUGCCGCGUGAAUGAAGAAGGCCUUCGGGUUGUAAAGUUCUUUCGGUGACGAGGAAGGUUGAUAGGUUAAUAGCCUAUCAAAUUGACGUUAAUCACAGAAGAAGCACCGGCUAACUCCGUGCCAGCAGCCGCGGUAAUACGGGGGGUGCGAGCGUUAAUCGGAAUAACUGGGCGUAAAGGGCACGCAGGCGGUGACUUAAGUGAGAUGUGAAAGCCCCGAGCUUAACUUGGGAAUUGCAUUUCAUACUGGGUCGCUAGAGUACUUUAGGGAGGGGUAGAAUUCCACGUGUAGCGGUGAAAUGCGUAGAGAUGUGGAGGAAUACCGAAGGCGAAGGCAGCCCCUUGGGAAUGUACUGACGCUCAUGUGCGAAAGCGUGGGGAGCAAACAGGAUUAGAUACCCUGGUAGUCCACGCUGUAAACGAUGUCGAUUUGGGGAUUGGGCUUUGAGCUUGGUGCCCGUAGCUAACGUGAUAAAUCGACCGCCUGGGGAGUACGGCCGCAAGGUUAAAACUCAAAUGAAUUGACGGGGGCCCGCACAAGCGGUG
rnacentral:rRNA from 1 species